rnacentral:rRNA from 1 species
AUUGAACGCUGGCGGCAUGCCUUACACAUGCAAGUCGAACGGCAGCGCGGACUUCGGUCUGGCGGCGAGUGGCGAACGGGUGAGUAAUGUAUCGGAACGUACCAUUGAGUGGGGGAUAACGUAGCGAAAGUUACGCUAAUACCGCAUAUUCUCUCCGGAGGAAAGCAGGGGACCGCAAGGCCUUGCGCCCUUUGAGCGGCCGAUAUCAGAUUAGCUAGUUGGUGGGGUAAAAGCUCAACAAGGCGACGAUCUGUAGCGGGUCUGAGAGGAUGAUCCGCCACACUGGAACUGAGACACGGUCCAGACUCCUACGGGAGGCAGCAGUGGGGAAUUUUGGACAAUGGGGGCAACCCUGAUCCUGCCAUGCCGCGUGAGUGAAGAAGGCCUUCGGGUUGUAAAGCUCUUUCGGCCGGGAAAAAAUCGCAUGGAUUAAUACUCUGUGUGGAUGAUGGUACCGGAAUAAGAAGCACCGGCUAACUACGUGCCAGCCGCCGCCGUAAGAC